rnacentral:lncRNA from 1 species
GAACUGCCAUGUCUAAGAGAAAGACUUGCCCCCGAAUUUGUAGGUCUGUAACUGACCAAGUUUUGUAAUUAUUAACAGGUAUUUGCCAAGUCCUAAUUGCUGAAUAUAAUGAAUUGGAACUAGAUGCGAAAAUAGAGCAGGACCUCUCCCCUUGAUGAGUUUUUAUUCCAGCCAUAUAAUUCUCAAUAAAACUUUUCCUGGGCUGGAUAGCAAAGGACACCUUUGGUUACCUGAAUGAACAGGUACAGGGGAAAUUAUUUGGGGGAGGGAAAAAGGAGAGAAAAGCAAGGAGAGAGAGUGUGAGUGUAAGAGAAAGCGAAGAAGCCACUCUUGAGAAAAGCUUGCCAUAAAGGAGCUAAACCCACCUGAAAUUCCUACCCACGGACACCCCUUCUCACUUCAGACUCACAUCCCCACUCAAAAUGAGAAAAUUAGAAAAGGAGGAUGGAGGACGAGCACACCAAAAAGGGAUAAAAAGAGAGAAAAGGGGAGGAAAAAAAACCUACCUGCGAAGUCUUGUUUGUAGUUUUGGCCAGAAAUGGUGAGAAGAAAAAGCAUGAAGAAGCCGCGAAGUGUGGGGGAGAAAAAGGUGGAAGCGAAGAAACAGCUCCCGGAGCAAACUGUACAAAAACCUCGCCAAGAGUGUCGGGAGGCAGGACCGUUAUUCCUGCAGAGCAGGAGAGAGACGAGAGACCCUGAAACACGCGCCACCUAUCUUUGUGGGGAGGGAUAAUUGAAGCGCCCUGAGCGUACCAGAGCCAGAAAAAAAAAUGCUGCAUGGGAGCUGCAUCUUAGGGCAUGUGUAUUAGGGUGUGUGCAUGAUGAAUUUCUGGACUGGAUCCCAAUAUUAAAAAGUAGUUUGGCAUUUUAAUAA